GUACAAUAAUCAAAACCCCAUCAACAAUUGCAAGGCUAUAAAAAAUGUCAAUGAGAGACAAGAAGAGAAAAAGAAAUUACAUAUGAGAGAUUAAUUCAAAAAAAAUGAAAUGCAAAAUGGCCACAAUCCAAAGAAAACAAAAGCACUUCCAUAGGAGAUCUAUCCAUACUGGGCAACUUGUUGGAUACAAACAUGCCUAACAGAUCCAAAAUCUUCACUCAUAUUUAAUAGGCGCCAAGAACUGCCAAUAUGCCAUUAGACAUGAGCUGGAUAGAUAACACUCAUAAUCAAAAUAAAGAAAAAUAAUCCUAAAACUCUAUGAGAAGUUAUUCCAUUCAAUUGGUCUGAAAGAAUUCCAUCUGUACAUGCUCCAUGCCUCACAUUAACAUCCAGGAAACACCAGAU
rnacentral:misc_RNA from 1 species